rnacentral:rRNA from 1 species
CCGGACCGUGUAUAAGUCUCCUGGAACGGAGUAUCAAAGAGGGUGACAAUCCCGUGCUUUACACGACGACCGGUGCUAUGUGAUACGUCUUCUACGAGUCGAGUUGUUUGGGAAUGCAGCUCAAAACGGGUGGUAAACUCCAUCUAAAGCUAAAUAUUGGUGGGAGACCGAUAGCGAACAAGUACCGUGAGGGAAAGAUGAAAAGCACUUUGGAAAGAGAGUUAAACAGUAUGUGAAAUUGUUGAAAGGGAAACGAUUGAAGUCAGUCGUGUCCAUUGGGUUCAGCCGGUCCUGCCGGUCUACUCCCUUUGGACGGGUCAACAUCAGUUCUGAUCGGCGGAUAAUGGCACGGGGAACGUGGCACCCUCCGGGGUGUGUUAUAGCCUCGCGUCGCAUACGCUGGUCGGGACUGAGGAACGCAGCUCGCCCUCACGGGCCGGGGUCGCCCACGUCCGAGCU